UACCAAGUAUUGUUUUUUUUUCCUGCAUGCUAUGAAGAUGUCAACAUGUAAAGAGUACAGCUGUUAUGCAAAUAAAAGUUUUCUUAAAUGUUUUACAGCUGCAAGACCAUCAGCAGGAGCCAUCAUGGUGGGAAAAGGGAAACACUCGACACGUGUGCUGUCAUUCAGGAUGUGAAAAUUGUUGCAUCCAUCAUCUCAAAUGAACUGCCCAGCAAAAAGGGGAUUAGCUGCUGAACCCAAGAUGAAAGACUAAGGGAGUCAGUGUUUUAUAUUUUGUCAUCUUAAUAAACUUUCUUGGGUUACUUUUC